rnacentral:rRNA from 1 species
UACGAACUGUGCGAACGUUAUUCGGAAUCACUGGGCUUAAAGGGUGCGUAGGCGGUUUUCUAAGUCACGUGUGAAAUCUUCCGGCUCAACCGGAAAACUGCGCGUGAUACUGGAUGACUUGAGUGAGGUAGGGGUGUGUGGAACUUCCGGUGGAGCGGUGAAAUGUGUAGAGAUCGGAAGGAACGCCAGCAGCGAAAGCGGCACACUGGGCCUUUUCUGACGCUGAGGCACGAAAGCUAGGGGAGUGAACGGG